rnacentral:lncRNA from 1 species
AUUAUGCUUACUCAUUUAAACAUUUUUAUCAAAUAUCAAGUUCAUAUCAUUUAAUACUUCACAUGAUAGCCUCAUACGAAUAUAGACAAAAAGUGAGACAUUCUCACAACUCUGUAAAUAUCAUCUCAUAUCCACGAUAUAGUCAUCAGCUGAUAUUUAUACCACCAUCUCAUCACAUUACAUGUGAUCCAUCACAAAUGUACCCUCUGACUAAAAUUUGUAAUCCGCCCCUCGGGCUAAGAACUUUCACCACAGGCUUUUGGCCCCCUCCGUGAACGAAAGCCGGUCUCAAAGACCUUUCAUAAUCAAUUCUAGAAUACGGUCAAAGCCCCUCUGUGAACUAUAUGUAUAUGAUCAAGACCAAUGUCAGGUCAAGACCCUCCGUAUAUGAUAGAACAUGGCCAAUGCCCCUCUGUAAACUAGAAGAAUUAUAUAAUCAUGGGUAUUUUUCUGAUCGAUCUCAAUAUCAUAUGUCUCACAUUCCACAUCACAAGUAUUUUCAUAUCUAAUCUUUGAGUUCCCCAAACAUCUUAAUGAAAGAGAUUUUUCCAAAAUAAUCAUGUAAUCGAACAUAUAAUUGCAUAUAAUUGCAAGUACUUUGACAAUAUACUUAAUUUAUAAAUACUUUAAAAAUAUUUAUAUUUUUCCACUCACAGAUUUAUAAAUAAAAAUCUGGCUAAAUUGACAAGUUUUUCCAAACUUUCACGUCACUACUUGAAAUAAUUGUAUAAUUACUCAAAUUAAAACAUCACAAUUAAAUUAAUACAA